AUCAUUUUCAUCAGAUUAGCUUUAUCAGUAGUUUGUUUGCCAUCAAACAUGACGUCACCGAACCAAAUAUCAGCACUAGGUGGGUUAAAGGUUGGCUGCAGUAGGCGGGGUGGAAGUUCUUUACCCCCAUAGGAGCAUAAAUAUCUUGUUUCGCUAGCUUGAAGCUCCAAUAUUUCUUUGAGAGGUUGGUUUGGUCGAACUGUCGUCGCUUUAAUAUGCCGCUGUCUCGAUCUUUGUCCAUGACGUCGUUGAGUGGCGUCCUGCCGGCGUGGGAUGAGGAUGACUUGCCUGUGGAGGACCUGCUACUCUUUGAGGUGGCCUGGGAAGUCACCAACAAAGUCGGAGGAAUCUACACGGUGAUCCAAACCAAGGCUAAGAUCACUGUGGAUGAAUGGGGGGAGAACUACUUCAUGCUGGGGCCGUACUUUGAACACAACUUUAAGACGCAGGUGGAAGCUUGCGAGCCACCCUUUCCUCCCAUCAGGAAAGCAAUGGAUGACCUGAUCCAAAAUGGCUGCCAGGUUUAUUUCGGCCGCUGGUUAAUCGAGGGCAGUCCUUAUGUGAUUCUUUUUGAUAUCGGUUCUGCCGCUUGGAACUUGGACCGCUGGAAGGGAGACUUUUGGCAGAGCUGCAACAUUGGCCUGCCUUAUCAAGACAGGGAAGCUAAUGACGCUCUCAUCUUAGGCUCCCUCAUCGCCUGGUUCUUCAAAAAGUUAACGGAGCAGCUUGGAGAUAAACCCGACGUGGUGGCUCAUUUCCAUGAGUGGCAGGCCGGACCGGGGCUGAUUUUGUGUUGCAAUCGUAAUAUCCCCAUGGCGACGGUGUUCACCACGCAUGCCACUCUACUGGGACGAUACCUCUGCGCGGGGAACGUUGAUUUCUACAAUAACUUAGAUAAGUUCAACCUUGACAAGGAGGCAGGCGAGCGUCAGAUCUACCAUCGUUACUGCUUGGAACGAGCCGCCGUCCAUUGUUCUCACGUCUUCACAACAGUCUCACAGAUCACCGCCGUGGAGGCCAAUCACAUUCUACACCGAAAACCGGAUGUGGUGACUCCGAACGGUCUGAAUGUCAAAAAGUUCUCUGCCAUGCACGAGUUUCAGAACCUGCACUCCAUCAGCAAGGCUCGCAUCCAAGAAUUUGUCAGGGGACACUUUUAUGGACAUUUGGACUUCAACCUGGAUAAAACGCUAUUCUUCUUCAUUGCCGGGCGCUACGAGUUCUCCAACAAAGGAGCAGACCUUUUUCUUGAAUCGCUAUCCAGGCUCAACUACCUCCUUAAGCUCCACAGGAAUGAUGUGACAGUGGUCGUUUUCUUUAUAAUGCCAGCUAAAACCAACAAUUUCAACGUAGAGUCCUUGAAGGGGCAAGCGAUACGCAAACAACUCUGGGAUACGGCGCACGCUGUGAAAGAGAAGUUUGGGAAACGGCUGUAUGAUGCGCUAUUAAUGGGCAAGAUCCCUGAUAUGGACUCCAUCCUGGACCGAGAUGACUUCACUAUAAUGAAGAGAGCCAUCUACGCCACUCAGAGGCACAGCCUCCCUCCGGUGACAACCCACAACAUGCUGGAUGACUCGACAGAUCCCAUCUUAGCAAACAUCAGACGGAUCGGUCUCUUCAAUUCCAGGAAUGACCGUGUUAAGGUAAUCUUCCAUCCUGAAUUCCUAUCAUCCACAAGUCCUCUGCUACCAAUGGACUACGAAGAGUUUGUUCGAGGUUGUAACCUUGGAGUAUUCCCCUCCUACUAUGAACCUUGGGGGUACACACCCGGUGAAUGCACUGUUAUGGGCAUUCCCAGUGUGACCACUAAUCUUUCUGGUUUUGGGUGCUUCAUGGAGGAACAUGUAUCAGACCCCGCUGCCUAUGUCACGGCGUCAGCGCAUCAUCCAGCGAAAUAGAGCGGAGAGGUUGUCCGAUUUGUUGGACUGGAGAUACCUGGGACGGGUUUGUUCAUAAAACGAGCACAAUUCCAUGUCACAGACGAAGAAAAAUAGCAAUAUUUGAAAAUUCGGGGGCCGAGGAUUUGCAUCAAAACUUUAUUUUACACCAAAUUGGAACUGGAAACUAGAAAAUGCAAUUUCUGGAUUGAUUUUGAGGCAUUUCAGGGUCACAUCCUGUAGAUUUUGGAGGUUUCAAGGGGUAACUUCCUGUUGAAAUCAUGUCACAGCCUGUUGAUUUGGGGGCAUUUUGGGGUCACUUCCAAUUGAUCCGGGGUCAUUUUGGGGACAUUUACUGUUUUUAUUGGGUACUUUCCUGUUGAUCUCGGGUCAUUUCAAAAUCAAUUCCAUUUGUUACUGGGUCACUUCCCAUUGAUAUCAGGUCAAUUCCUGUAGCUUUGGAAUGGGUCAAAAACCCAUAAAGAAAAUAAAAUAUAUAUAAAUGUGACAUUUCAAAUUGCUACUUGUCUUCCAUUACAUUUGCCAAACACAUACAGUACGGUCCAGUCAAAAUUUGCCAAAACAUACCCAUUCAUUUCCAAUAGCCCUACUAUCCCAUUGACUUCCAAUUACCCUAUUCGCCGUUCAUUUCGAUAGCACAAAAACUUAUGUUGAGUCCUAUCGAUUUCCAACAACAAGAAAAUAAACUAACCAUGUUUGAAAACAUAAAGCCUAAAACAACAAUACAAACAAGCUUCUUUGCUAAAAUCAUUAACAAAAUGGUCCUUUUGUUUUCUUUUUUCCAGUUCUACAUUCAUGCACGCCUCCUUGCGCUCAGUCGAGCUUUCCCUGACAAGUUUAAAGUGGACCCCAUGGCACCUCUGAAGACGGAGGGUUUUCGCUAUCCCCGACCUUACUCGGUGCCUCCCUCUCCUUCAGUUUCUGUCCACUCCACACCACACCA